rnacentral:rRNA from 1 species
UACGAAGGGGGCUAGCGUUGCUCGGAAUCACUGGGCGUAAAGGGUGCGUAGGCGGGUUCUUAAGUCAGGGGUGAAAUCCUGGAGCUCAACUCCAGAACUGCCUUUGAUACUGGGAAUCUCGAGUCCGGGAGAGGUGAGUGGAACUGCGAGUGUAGAGGUGAAAUUCGUAGAUAUUCGUAAGAACACCAGUGGCGAAAGCGGCUCUCUGGAACGGUACUGACGCUGAGACGCGAAAGCGUGGGGAGCAAACAGG